AUCCUUCUCAUUUUGAGAAGAUCUUAACAUGGAAACAAGCUUAUUAAUUCAACAUCAUGUUGAGAACAUGAAAAAAUGCCAAGGAGGAGGAAGAUGCCUGUGCAAGACCAAGAAUGUGCUCUCUGGUGAUUUCCCAUAGCACUUACUGGGGUUCUCCCUCCAGAGCAGUCCAGCUGUUGGGAAAGUGAUUUCCGAUUGGUAUGGAGGGCAUGGGGCUGCCGCUCUCUGAAGGGCACGGCUUUCCGGGGUGCUGUGCAGUCCAUGUCCCCUAUCCAGUACGGGUUUACACCUGCAGGACAUGGGGAGAGGGGCCAAGUUACUUCUGCUAGCUUUGGAAAGCUCUGCAUAUUCAUCUGAUCAGAUUGUCUACCAUUAAUGAGGAGCAUCUGAGUUUUACGAAGCUCUUUUGUUUUUUGAAGAGUGCUUCCAGUUAGUAAUAGGUAAGUGUAUGAGUAU